GACAACAUGACGCUUGAUGACAGUCACAACAACAACAACAACACGUGCAGAUCCUGCAGAUGAUUUAGUCUUAAAAGCUGCUAAUGUCACAUCUUUCAGCUCAACUGCAAACAAAACCGACACACAGACUGAUCAAACGAGUGUCACGCGACUCACCUGUAACAAUAAGUGAUGUGUUGUUGGCUGUAAAGUGGUCCGGCUGAAGCAGAGCUCUGGGACGUGUGGACAGACAUUGACUGUAAUGAUGGACAUCUGCUCAGGGACAGCUUUAUUUAUUUUUUUCAGUCUGUGCAAAAGUAUAACCGCUGCGGGUCACAGUGCUGGAAGCUCCAGGGGGAGACCGUACUGAUAUCCCCCUUCUUCAGGCGCGCCUUCACACACUCCAGCAUUCACUCGUAUCGCAGAGACCCGGCUGGGAUCAAACCAGCAACCUCUGAACCCGUGAGGCAGCGCUCUUACCUGCGAGCCACAGAUCUCUUGCUGGAGCACAUGAAGGAACUUAUAUCUGACUGUUUACCUGUGAUUUCCCAAUAAAGAUGUUGACGGAAGCUCUGUCUGGGAUUUAAACCCACGUCUCCAUCGCAGUCUCAUCCUCAGAGGACGUGUGUUUAUCCACUGACCCAUCAUUGAUUUCAUGUUGUGGUUUGGUGUUUGAGUGACUUUGUUGGAUGAGAUCAGUUUAAAGUAAGCAAUAGUGGGAUUAGAACCAGGACUUUUAUGUUUGAGAGUGAAGCCUUUAACCACUGAGCCACAGAGUUUGUUAGUUUAUAAAUUUUUUAUUUUUAAGGUCGUUUAGAUUUUAAGUUUAGGCUGAGUAAAAGAUUUGAUUGCUUCUGUGGGAUUCGAG
rnacentral:tRNA from 1 species